rnacentral:misc_RNA from 1 species
ACAAACUUGGUCAUUUAGAGGAAGUAAAAGUCGUAACAAGGUUUCCGUAGGUGAACCUGCGGAAGGAUCAUUAAUGAAUAAACUUGAUAGGUUGUUGCUGGCUCUUACUACUGAGCAUGUGCACACUUGUCAUUUUUAUCUUUCCACCAUGUGCACUCUGCAUAAAAGCAUCAUUCUGAUCAAAGGAAGUAGUACCCUUUGUUCUUUGGAAACUGCUGUUGUGAAAAUAAUGGCUUUUUCUGUUUGCUUUUAUGAUUUUAUAUAUACACCUGUAAUGUUGCAGAACGAUCUAAAGGGUCUACAAAGCCCUAUAAACUAUAAAUACAACUUUCAGCAACGGAUCUCUUGGCUCUCGCAUCGAUGAAGAACGCAGC